AACGAACGCUGGCGGCAUGCCUAACACAUGCAAGUCGAACGAGACCUCCGUGCCUAGUGGCGCACGGGUGCGUAACGCGUGGGAACCUGCCCUUAGGUUCGGAAUAACACUCCGAAAGGGGUGCUAAUACCGAGUAAUGUUUUCGGACCAAACAUUCAUCGCCUUUGGAUGGGCCGGCGUUGGUUUAGCUAGUUGGUAGGGUAAAAGCCUAUCAAGGCGACGAUCCAUAGCUGGUCUGAGAGGAUGAUCAGCCACACUGGGACUGAGACACGGCCCAGACUCCUACGGAAGGCAGGAGUGGGGAAUAUUGGACAAUGGGCGAAAGCCUGAUCCAGCAAUGCCGCGUAAGUGAUGAAGGCCUUAGGGUUGUAAAGCUCUUUUACCCGGGAUGAUAAUGACGGUACCGGGAGAAUAAGCUCCGGCUAACUCCGUG
rnacentral:rRNA from 1 species